CGAAAACAAAAACUCUCAGCUCUCUAUCAUUCUCUCUCUCAAAACAUUCUGGGUUUUGGAGAGAAAAUAUUCUCUCGAUCUCUCUUUUCUCUUGGCUCUCAAUCUCUCUGUUCUCUCAAUCUGGGGAAGAAUUUGUUGGAAGGAAAGAAUCUGGAUUGUACUUGAAUCUGGAUUCAGUGUGAACAGUACAAUAUCCUCAUUAAGAUAAGUAAUUGAGUCUCUACCAUUUAAAUUUAAUCCUGCACUGCUUUGAUUUUUGAAUCCCUUACUCCGGUGAAUCAAUGAAUCAUGAAGAUUAAGACAAAGUCUUUUUAGAUAGUAAUCGCUAAAUCUUUCAGCUUUUAACUUUCAAUUCCGUUAUGUUCAUAUUAGGUUCGUCACUCACAUGCUUUUUAAUUUCUCUAUCAUGGUGAUGGUGUUAGUUAUUGUGGGUAGUAUAUUUAUCUGACUCACCUGUGAAUAUUUUAUGCAGUUACAAGUGUUGAAACAGUGUGCAUUAGGCAACUUGGACGAACCUUUUGUCAACCCUGGCAUAAAUGAGAAGCAAUCGUUGUUUGUUCUGAUGCUCUUGACUUGAUAAAGAAAGAACUUUCCAAGUUGGUGACAAUGGAAACCAAAGUCUUCAUCCUCCACUUGGCAACUAAUCUAUGCUCUCUUUAAAUUGAUUCAGUUGAUAUACAUGCAACUUAGCUUAUAUAUAUGUCCAAUUGUUGUUCUUAAAAGCAGUGGCUGGUUCGGAAAAAUAACUAUGGAGGAUAUUGAUGAUCUGCGGGCAUAGUGGGCAAAGUAUGUUUCAAGUUCAAGGAUAACAAGUAUGUUUGGUAAGCAGUAGUAGCUUGCUAUAAGUAGUAAGAGAUGCAUUAUAAGCAUCAAUAUGCAGGUUAAAUUUGGACAUAGCUGGCUGAGGUUGCAUCUUUUGCGAGCUAUUUUGAUGUGCAAGUUGUUUAGUUGGUUUCCCUUUGUGUAAAACUGCUAGUACUUUAUGGCUCUUUUAAAUUGCAAGGAUAAUAUAUACCAUGGAA